CCGUUUCUGUGGUUUCUGAUACUAUAUUAUUAUUUUUUUUAUUCAUAAACACAGACAAAACCAUAUUCCAGAGCGUUUGUGCCAUUUAUCUUACAGCCCAGAAUUAGCUCUUUUUGUUUUUUGACCCCAAUAGUAUAUCAUGAUACCCAGUGUAGGUGUUCCUGAUGCCUCAUCUGACCUGUCUACAUCUGAUAUGUUCUUCAAAGGUCAAUGUCUCUCCAUUACUCCUAUCAGAGUGUCAUCUAACUGAUCAAUGACUUCACUUGCUGAUGAAAUACUGGCUUUAAAUUUCUCCCUUCAGACUCUAUUUCUUCUUUCAGAUGGAUCUUCAUGCUCUUAAACAAUACCUGCAUUGAGUAAUAAAUGCAAUGCCACUCAGGUACUUUCAUAGUAGAGGAAGUAAUGAUAGGUUCUUAGGUUGUUGGAAGCUUCUUUUAGAUGUGUAUCUUCAAAGGCGGAGUGCUUUAACAUUUGCAUAAUAGCAUAAUAUUUUAGCGAUUUUUUCUUCUGUCAGUGAAGCUGAAUUUGAAUGACAGAACUGUAUGCUUUUCUUGUUCCCUUCCAUGUUUUAGGACCAAACAUAGCCAAACUUAAUUCAUUUAAUCGACACAUAAUUUAGUUCAGAAAGUCUAUUUUAAAGCCCCUAUGUAAUCAAAACUGAAGUUGUGUGACUUUUAGUAUGAAUAUGUUAAGCUUAAGGUUUUCUAUGAGCUAGCGCGCGCCAAAACAAUGACCAAAUCCGAAUUUAGAAGAUACACAGGUGCAUCUUAAAAAAUUAUAUAUCGUGGUAAAUUAUAUAUCGUGGUAAAUUAUAUAUCGGAUAUCGUGGGAAAGUUACUUUUUCCCGUAAUUUGACGAAAAAAAAAAAGUGGAACGUUCAUAUAAUCUAGAUACAUUUCUUAGAUACAUUCAAAUGGACUUUUCUACGAUUUAAAAUUUUUUUUUUUUUACAGCCUCUCUCUACCACCAAUACGGAUCAACAAUUUGAUGACAUCAUUCUGAACUUCAGCGUCUCGGCACAUUUUCUGUCCAAUCAAAUGUUCCCGAGAUUAUAAAAAUCUAUGCUGCUGACUGUCAAGUACGGCUUAGCCUGGGCUGUGAGGAAAGCUGCAUGCUAUUACCUACUUAAAAGUGGGGAGGUGCUACUCAAUAUGUUCCACCCUGACUUCCUGUUUCAGUGGAAAUUACAUCAUCAACACAUUGAAUAAUGCUGCACGUUUCAAGGAAUUUCACAGGGAUUAAUUAUUCUAGAUUGUGGUUAAAUUUAAAAUCCACCUCUCUCAACAGAACAAAAUUUUGUAUUUAUUUCUAAAAAAACAAAAACAACAACAACACAUAUUUGCUUUUCUUUAAAUGGCUUACACAAAGUUUAGACUUUUUUUUUUUCUUCAAUCCGGUGAACAAUAUAAAUAACACUGCCAAAGAGUUAUAAACUUAUAGCACUGGCUAAAUUGUAGCAUGGAGAAUAUAUCUACAUCUAACAUAUAUAUAUACACAGCAGUACAGACUUAAAGUAAAAUGAAGGCACUGCAAAAAAAAAAUGCAGUUUCAUAACUUUUAUUGUAUUAAUACAUUAAUGUAUUGGGUAAAAGCUAUGACAUUACAGAGUAUUGAGAAGUCGUCCAAACCACAAAUGAUGAGAUAUCGCCAUCACACACGGCAUGACACCAUGCUUCUCAUAACCCAGUCCUGUCAACUCACAAUACAUUGGAAUACGUGCCAAAAAUACACUGUUUCUCUGAAUAAGUUAGUGUUUUGGAGGAUUAUGAGUACUUAAUGGUUUUGUGUGGAACAGUAUAACUGUAUAAUUUUGCCUGAGAGACACAAUGGAAUCCUUAUUGUGAGUGUGGAGGAGUGUAAGGGAAUGUGAAUGAGAGCGUGUAAACAGAUCCCUUUUGUCAACAGUGUUAGGAGGACUCUUGUGGUUCAUACACGAAUAGCCUUUACGACAGAUAACAGCAUCAUUUACCAAACUGGUGGAGGCUGACAGCCCACGCUGACAGGAAGGAAGGAAAGAUGACAAAAGAUUUUCAAAAGUUACUGAAAGCAUUUGUAACGAUAUUAUGAACUGGUGAGUCUUCACAGACACUGGAAUUUCGUCAAGAACUUCCUGAUUUCCAGUCACUGAAUAUUUUUUUAAAUUUGUUUCCCCAUCUUAUAAGAGUAAUUCAACCAAAAAUGUCAUUACACAAUUUUCCCCUUUGCCCAAGUGUAGUCAAUCAGCUAGUGAUGUUUGCUUUCCGAGGUUUGCUACUUUAGUUUUUCCCUGGAAGAUGAACUGGCAACCCAUCCAGGGUGUAUUCCCAUCUCAUCCUCGGUGUUCCUGGGAUAGGCUCUGGAUCCACCUCAACCAAGGUUAAAGCGCUUAUUGAAGAUGAAUGAAUGAGGCCAAUGAAUGAGCCCACCCAUGUUUUUGGAACACAUGUAUCCAAACUCAUGCAGACAAUAAUAUAGUCAAUCAUGUGGCAGCAGUGCGAUACAUAACAUCAUGCAGAUCCAGGUCAAGAGCUUCAGCUGAUGCUCACAUCCAACAUCGGAAUGAGGAAAACAUGUCAUCUCAGUGUCCGACAGGCUGGUUUGACUAAUUCAGAAAAUGCUGUUCUCCUGCUGUUCUAAAAGUGCCUUGUUGAUGAGACAGGUCAGAGGAGAAUGGCCAAGACCGGUAUGAGCGGACAGGAAGGUGUAUGCUAACUCUUAAAUAACCACUCUUUACAACCGUGGUGAGCAGAAAAGCAUGUAGCCUCCACUUUAGCACUGAGUCAGUUUAGCAGCAUAAUGUACCUAACUCAUCAAACCGACAUCUGCUGUUACUUAUCGCAAACAGACACUGUAUGACACACUAUCUUCUAUUGACAAAAUGGACAAAACAACAUAUCAGAGCUAAAAACUUUCAUACCGGCCAUUUUUAACAAUGCUUUCUGCAGCACAUGGCUCAGCUAGUAGAUGUAGCCUACAGUCCAUCCAUCCAUUUUCUGUACCGCGUAUCCUACACAGGGUCGUGGGUAGCCUAUCCCAGGGGACUCGGGGCACAAGGUGAGGGACACCCUGGACGGGGUGCAAACCCAUUGCAGGACACAAUCGCACACAUUCAUACACUACGGACAAAUUGUCUUUGGAGUGGAGGAGGAUACCCAUAAAGCAUGGGGAGAACAUGCAAACUCGGCGCACAGAGCGUGGAGGUGGGAGUCGAACCCGCCAACCCUGGAGGUGCUAAAAUUUGAAAUGAAACUGUUUAUGAUUCACAGCUCUAAUACAAAACCUCACAGCUCCACUACUAAACUUCAGACCAAAAAAAAAAAAAAAAAAACACAACUUGGCAUAUUGAAUGUAUUAAGUAAGAGGGACAUUGUGUUGAUUUUUGGAUAAACUAUUUCCAUCAGCACCAAAAGUGGAAAGUAAGUCGUCUAAUCUUUCCCAACAUUCCGAAGUUAAUAACCGUGCCAAGAUAAAUGUACAACAACUAUGAAACAGAAGUCAAAUAUUGGCUCGUACACCCCCACAAGUUGACCUUCCUAUAUUUACUUAUUAAAUGUGUACAGAGACCCGCGCAAUGCUUCGCUAAAAUUACAAGAUUUUGACAGAGUGUCUUUACGUCACAGGCGGAAGUAGAGGGGCUUCUUCCUCGGACGUAUUUAGAGCCGGGCUUUAACUGUUAGUGGAAUGUAGAGUAAACAACCCUGUCACUUUGAUUCCAUAAGUCAAAGGAAGCCAUCUUUCAGCCUACUCACUAGGAAGUGCACUUCAGCCCACACAUGGUUUUGUCAUUUCGGGUCUGUGUGGUCUGCUUGUUCAGCCUGAGAGCGCGUCAGUGCUGAAAUGUGCGGCUGUGUGGAGUGGAGAUCAGAGCCAGAACUCCAUAACAAACAGCGCACUGUUCCUUUAACCGAUGACUAUUAGUAGUAAACGGAGAUGACCGAACGUGAUCUAGUAGACGCUCUUCUCUUCAGCUGAGGAGAUUAACGUCCUACUAUUCAGGAGAACUGCUACCACACACUGUCCUGCGUCCAGGAUGUGAGCGACUUUGACAAGGGCCAGAUUGUGAUGGCUAGAUGACCGGGUUAGAG
ensembl:lncRNA